GCUUGUAUAGCUCAGUCGGUAGAGCGUUACCUUGGUAAGGUAAAGGUCACCAGUUCGAUUCUGGUUACAAGCU
rnacentral:tRNA from 1 species